CUUUUUUUUCAAAACAUGGUCUUUUGUUUAUAUAAAAGAUCGGGCCUGCCCUAUGAUUAAUUUUAAAUGGCUGCAGUAUUUUGACUGUACAAAGGUAGCAUAAUCAUUUGUCUUUUAAUUGAAGGCUGGUAUGAAUGGUUUGAUGAAAAAUGAUCUUUCUUUAUUUUAUAUAAAAAAUUUAAUUUUCUAGUUAAAAAGCUAGGAUUUUUUUAUAGGACGAGAAGACCCUAUAGAACUUUAUUUUUUAUUUUUUAUAAAUUUUUUGGUUUAUUAUAAGUUUAUAAAAUUUUAUUAAUUGUGUUGGGGUGAUGGAAAAAAAUAUAUAACUUUUUCUAUUUUUUACAUUUAUAUAUGUUUUUUUGAUCCUAUAUUAUGGAUAACAAGAUUAAGUUACCUUAGGGAUAACAGCGUUAUUUUUUUGGAGAGUUCUAAUCGAUGAAAAAGUUUGCGACCUCGAUGUUGGAUUAAAAUAAGUGACAGGAGUAGAAUAUUGUUUACUAGGUCUGUUCGACCUUUAAAUUUUUACAUGAUUAGUUUUCCAAC
rnacentral:rRNA from 1 species